CGCGUGGGAAUGUGCCUUUUGGUUCGGAAUAGCCCCGGGAAACUGGGAGUAAUACCGGAUAAGCCCUUCGGGGGAAGAUUUAUCGCCAAAAGAUCAGCCCGCGUUAGAUUAGCUAGUUGGUGAGGUAACGGCUCACCAAGGCGACGAUCUAUAGCUGGUCUGAGAGGACGACCAGCCACACUGGAACUGAGACACGGUCCAGACUCCUACGGGAGGCAGCAGUGGGGAAUCUUGGACAAUGGGCGCAAGCCUGAUCCAGCCAUGCCGCGUGAAUGAUGAAGGCCUUAGGGUUGUAAAGUUCUUUCAGCAGGGACGAUAAUGACGGUACCUGCAGAAGAAGCCCCGGCUAACUCCGUGCCAGCAGCCGCGGUAAUACGGAGGGGGCUAGCGUUGUUCGGAAUUACUGGGCGUAAAGCGCACGUAGGCGGACCAGUCAGUGAGGGGUGAAAUCCCGGGGCUCAACCCCGGAACUGCCUCCAAAACUUCCAAUCUAGAGUCCAUGAGAGGGUGGUGGAAUUCCCAGUGUAGAGGUGAAAUUCGUAGAUAUUGGGAAGAACACCAGAGGCGAAGGCGACCACCUGGACCGGUACUGACGCUGAGGCGCGAAAGCGUGGGGAGCAAACAGGAUUAGAUACCCUGGUAGUCCACGCCGUAAACGAUGAGAGCUAGAUGUCGGGCAGCAUGCUGUUCGGUGUCGCAGCUAACGCAUUAAGCUCUCCGCCUGGGGAGUACGGUCGCAAUACUAAAACUCAAAGAAAUUGACGGGGGCCCGCACAAGCGGUGGAGCAUGUGGUUUAAUUCGAAGCAACGCGCAGAACCUUACCAGCUCUUGACAUCCCGAUCGCGGUUACCGGAGACGGUUUCCUUCAGCUAGGCUGGAUCGGUGACAGGUGCUGCAUGGCUGUCGUCAGCUCGUGUCGUGAGAUGUUGGGUUAAGUCCCGCAACGAGCGCAACCCACGUCGUUAGUUGCCAGCAUUUAGUUGGGCACUCUAGCGAGACCGCCGGUGAUAUAAACCGGAGGAAGGUGUGGAUGACGUCAAGUCAUCAUGCCCCUUACAUCCUGGGCUACACACGUACUACAAUGCUACGAGACUAGCAAAAUCCCAUAAACCGUGGCUCAGUUCAGAUCGUAGGCUGCAACUCGCCUACGUGAAGGAGGAAUCGCUAGUAAUCGCAGGUCAGCAUACUGCGGUGAAUACGUUCCCGGGCCUUGUACACACCGCCCGUCACACCAUGGAAGUUGGCCACGCCCGAAGACGGUGCGCUAACCUUUUCGGA
rnacentral:rRNA from 1 species